CAUGUGUAGCGGUGAAAUGCGUAGAUAUAUGGAAGAACACCAGUGGCGAAGGCGGCUGUCUGGUCUGUAACUGACGCUGAGGCUCGAAAGUAUGGGGAGCGAACAGGAUUAGAUACCCUGGUAGUCCAUACCGUAAACGAUGAAUGCUAAGUGUUGGAGGGUUUCCGCCCUUCAGUGCUGCAGCUAACGCAUUAAGCAUUCCGCCUGGGGAGUACGACCGCAAGGUUGAAACUCAAAGGAAUUGACGGGGGCCCGCACAAGCGGUGGAGCAUGUGGUUUAAUUCGAAGCAACGCGAAGAACCUUACCAGGUCUUGACAUCCUUUGACCACUGUAGAGAUACAGCUUUCCCUUCGGGGACAAAGUGACAGGUGGUGCAUGGUUGUCGUCAGCUCGUGUCGUGAGAUGUUGGGUUAAGUCCCGCAACGAGCGCAACCCUUAUGACUAGUUGCCAGCAUUUAGUUGGGCACUCUAGUAAGACUGCCGGUGACAAACCGGAGGAAGGUGGGGAUGACGUCAAAUCAGCAUGCCCCUUAUGACCUGGGCUACACACGUGCUACAAUGGUCGGUACAACGAGUUGCGAACCCGCGAGGGUAAGCUAAUCUCUUAAAGCCGAUCUCAGUUCGGAUUGUAGGCUGCAACUCGCCUACAUGAAGCCGGAAUCGCUAGUAAUCGCGGAUCAGCACGCCGCGGUGAAUACGUUCCCGGGCCUUGUACACACCGCCCGUCACACCAUGAGAGUUUGUAACACCCGAAGUCGGUGUGGUAACCCUCUA
rnacentral:rRNA from 1 species